UAUAUUGAGUGGGUAUAUUGAGUGAAUAUAUUGAGUGGCUAUAUUGAGUGGGGCAAUAUACCCACUCAAUAUACCCACUCAAUA
rnacentral:pre_miRNA from 1 species